CUUGGUUUUUAUUGUUGGAUAUUUGUGCAUUGUAUUGACAUGACGAAAUAUUUUUAUUAGGGUAAUAAGUCGACUCUGCCUUUAUGGGGGCUUCUAACUAAAUGCCUGAUACCCAUUUCUAAGCCUGGUUUAAAUUGGUAAUACUAAUAACGUAGCACACGUUCCUAGAUUUUGAAUGACAUUUUACUACAGUUCUUAGGUUUGGGAUGGAAUGAAAGUCUGCACUCUCCAGAUUAUUUCAUUUGUGCCUGAUUUUUGUGUAAAAUCAAGCUCUGUUUAGGCUUGUUUUGUUGUUAGCAGUAUUCUUCGAAAUUCACUUCUAAAUGUGAUGCAAUUGGCGGAGUGAAUAGGUGUUGAGUAUCACGAACAUUCUUAUUUUUCUCACAUUCCAUAUCUGAACAAUGUUGUUUUACAAUAACCAAUCGCUAAGGCUGCCCCCGCUUUUAUAUUGAUUAAGUAGUCUGCCAAAAUGUUUCAAAUAUGAAUUACCAGUUUUAAACAUAUAUUACAAACAUCCCAAUUUCUAGCUGGAACAGAAUGACUCUUGGAACAAGUAGAUUUCCUGACAGAUGUUAUUGAAUUCUGAACUAACAUCCGAUGAUCGUGGUAAAAAAUAGGUAAGCACUUUUUUAAAGAUUAUGUUUUUUGUUAUAAUACGUACAAUACCUUAAGAACGACGAAUUUAGUCUACAAUAAAUUUAGUCAAACUUUUCGUGAGACUAAAUUUCUCACAUUCCAUAUCUGAAUAAUGUUGUUUUACAAUAACCAAUCGCUAAGGCUGCCCCCGCUUUUAUAUUGAUUAAGUAGUCUGCCAAAAUGUUUCUAAUAUGAAUUACCAGUUUUAAACAUAUAUUACAAACAUCCCAAUUUCUAGCUGGAACAGAAUGACUCUUGGAACAAGUAGAUUUCCUGACAGAUGUUAUUGAAUUCUGAACUAACAUCCGAUGAUCGUGGUAAAAAAUAGCUCAGAUAUUAUGUUAAGUUACGUGCUCAAGAUUAGAAACAACUUGUAUCAUUGAUGUGAAAAAAACCUGGGAGAAACUCCUUCUAGCCACGCGUGAUGAGUGAUUAGCUAAAAUCGAGCUGAUAUGGAAAAACCGGGUGACGUGUGUCAUCUCACCGAGACACUACAGACAUGGGAACGUGCGAAGGACGAAGUCUAAGAAUUGGAGAAUAACGUCAGUAGAGAAGCAGCUAACUUCCCCUGUACCCAAGCAUACCAACGACGUUAAACAAUAGACAUGAAGAGACUCGAUGCCACCGCUGACCCCCUACGAAGUACUUGUGCUCGGAGGCAGAAACUGGCAUCGUUUAGGUCGAGAGCUAAAAUGUAAUCCUCGUGACCUGGAUCUGGAGCAACUACAGCACAGCUACCUUCACACUACAUCAGAUUCGAAAUAAGACUCAACAGAGCCUCGUAUUCUCCGCACAACACUAUCUUGAUAACAUUAGUCUGAAAAAGUUGGUUAAAGAACUUAAUCCGGACAUUAAGAGGCUGUGGGGAUGUACGGAUAGUAUUCGCUAUUAGGAAACACCCUUCAAUCGGUAAUACACUAGUGAAGAAUUGAAAACUGGAAACCCUUGAUGUAGGAAAACAGAGGUGUAAUGGACCUGGCUGCAAAAUUUGCCCGUACUGUUUGACAAGGACUCAAAGAUCAACAACAUGGACCUGGUGCUAGACGGAACAAACAAGGACAAACAUGUUAUCUAUGUUGCCCAGUGCCAGCUAUGUUGCACACAUUUGACCGCUUUUACAAUUUAAGCUGGUAUGAAGAAGAGAUAAUAUUUUGCUUUUAGUGUUACCGUCACUACUGUAACGAGAUUUCUUAGCGUUAUCAAUUUACAGUAAUGGGACAGAACAGUUUUAAGACUGAUUAGUGAAUUUUUGUUAAAUAAGUAGUGCUAGUUACUGCUAAUCAGUUUUACUAAAGAAUAUUAAAUUUUGCCGGCUAAUUUUUACGUUUGAUUUAAUAAGUUAUGAUGAUUAUAUAUAAACUUUACUUGAUAUAGUGCUUAUCUUAAAGUUAAAUGUUUUUAUAGGCUCUUAAGGAUGUAGUUUUACGAAGAUUUCAAGCCUUACGAUGUGUGUUUCCCUUCGUGUCCGAAAGAAUUAUAAGUUGUGAGAACUCUACAUGAAACAUUACAACACAGCAUACCCUGUUAAGAGCAUUGCCGUUUUACCAUUUAUUGUACCAUCAGAACAAAUAAUUCUUCGUGAACAAUCUCUAAUAUCGACUGUAGAGUGAUUCAGCACGCUUGAUACAUUAUUACGCUUGAUACAUAUAACGGGUAUUACGCAAGUCCCAAGGUCUGUGAUUUAAUCCUUAUAUGUAGUAGUUGCAACUGGGUUAAGAAGCGGUCAUACGUAAUUAUGGUUGAAAUAAUUUGUCCAACCAUCAAAUUCAACGAUAAAAGAAUAUAAUACUCUAACCCGAACUGCUAACUAAACAAGAAACUAUGCUUCCUAAGAAUAAACCCAUAUAUUAUUGAAAUUAUUAUUAAACCCAUAUAAUAUUGACGUGAUCGAGAUAGUUUAUUGCCAGGCAAGCAUUUUAACCCCGUCAUGAGAUUUACAAUUACAAUUACAUCUUAAUCAGUGUCCGAAAAUUGAAAAUGCAUUGAUUCAAGUUGGUUUCAACUGUCAGGGGCUUUACUUGGCGGCGCACAGCCUGUGAUUCCGUAAGAUUAUUCGACGGUUUAUCAUGUUCAUGAUCAUAAUACAUGAUACUAAUUAUAGACUUGUAUUGGGUCCCCCGGGUACCGGUAAUCGGGGACCAUUCAAAUAGUGUUAACGGUAACAGUAAGUAAUUUAGCACGCUUGUAUGUAUUGGCCAGUCUAUCAACAAUUAAGGUCAAUGAAUCAUGCAUGAUUACUGUUAUGCACUCAGCGCUCAGUCUUUCAUUCUGCCGAAUUUAUUUAUUCGGUUUAUGAAAAUGCAAAAUGACAGCCCGGUUUAUAAACAUCAUAUAAUAGCCUGGAGUCCCCGCUCCCAGGUAAAAUACAUAAAUAAGGACCGCCAAGGAAUGAAGAACGAAAUUUAAUAUUAUCAUUACCUAAUCGAUUACAAAUAUUGCACAUUGCAGAUUCCUGAAAUUAAAUGUAAAAUGCAGUUUAACUCG